CCGCAGUCAAGGUUCACGCCGAACAGCCGGAGCUGCCGUGACGACGGUGCUGAAGCUGCACUGCAACUCCUGUUGUCUCUGUCCGAUUGAGAUUCUCCUGCAAUUGUUCAGCAGAAAUCGUGUAAGAGGACCAGAGAAUUGGGGAUAUGCGAUUAUUAUCUCACGUGGCAUUAACCUUAUCCGUCCUGCUUUCUGUUCCUGGGGCUUCAAGUUCCCAAGCGCCACAAUAUUCGAACAUUGGAAUGGGAAAUAGGAUCAAGAUUGGACCUGGACAAAGAUCUGCCCUGUCCAAUUUCCAAAAGCUUUUCGAGUCAGAUGAUGCAAUGCAAAAGACUAGUAUACUCGAUGGCAUGGCAAUGGCAUAGGAUGGAUGCAUUGCAUCAGUGUAAGCUGCACGAGCGUGAUAAAAAAAGCGUUUAUAUAUACACGCCGGUCCUGUUGUGGUUCCUGCAUGGCAUUGGCACCAAUAAUGGCGGGCAUCAUGUGGCUAUCAUGGCGAAGUGCUCGCUCACUCACAUCACAUGCCCUAGAAAACCUCUGAACCACCCCAGUGAAUUCUGCUCUGGCUCUUACAAGUUAUAUUGGGGAAAAAAAAAAGGAGAACAGAAGGCGACGCCGGCGAGGCUAAAGGCUGCAUAAAGCUUUUUCCUUUUGGUACCACGUUGAAGACGUACUACUGCAAGUGCGUGUGUGCACAUUCGACUUGCAAUGCUCUCUGAUCUCUUGGAGGUACGAGUACUAGGGUUUACCUAAAACCAAAAACUUUUCAAGAUUCCUCGUCACAUCAAAUCUUGAAGCAUAUACAUGAAGCAUUAGAUAUAGACGAAAAUAAAACUAGUAGAUGAAUCUUUU